rnacentral:rRNA from 1 species
AUUGAACGCUGGCGGCAUGCCUUACACAUGCAAGUCGAACGGCAGCACGGGGGCAACCCUGGUGGCGAGUGGCGAACGGGUGAGUAAUGCAUCGGAACGUGCCCAGUAGUGGGGGAUAACCCGGCGAAAGCCGGGCUAAUACCGCAUACGACCUAUGGGUGAAAGCGGGGGACCGUAAGGCCUCGCGCUAUUGGAGCGGCCGAUGUCUGAUUAGCUAGUUGGCGGGGUAAAGGCCCACCAAGGCGACGAUCAGUAGCUGGUCUGAGAGGACGACCAGGCACACUGGGAAUGAGACACGGCCCAGACUCCUACGGGAGGCAGCAGUGGGGAAUUUUGGACAAUGGGCGCAAGCCUGAUCCAGCCAUGCCGCGUGCGGGAAGAAGGCCUUCGGGUUGUAAACCGCUUUUGGCAGGAACGAAACGGCGCGGGUGAAUAUCCCGCGCUAAUGACGGUACCUGCAGAAUAAGCACCGGCUAACUACGUGCCAGCCGCCGCCGUAACAC